ACGAGGGAGCGUCCGCGGCCCGCGCAGAGCCGCGCACCAAGCCGAUGGCGGUGGACGCAGCAGGGCCCCGCGGUCUGAGUGCGGGCAGGCGCGCGUGGGCGUGUCUCCCUGGCCCACGCGUGUCCCCGGCAUCAGUGUCUCGGCUCUGGUCCAGGACGAAGACUUCUGAAAGCGAGCCAAGGAGAAUCACAGUUCUUAACGGAGCCCCUGACUGCCCGGUGGAAGGAGGUGAUUUAGAAGACAGUGAGUUGAUCUGGGGCAAAGUGAAGCAUCAGUAGCGCCUUCCAUCCCUUCACCUCACCUGGAUCUCUUCACUUCACUCCACGUCUGUCGUCUCCCAUGCAUGAAGCAACAUGGCCAAGUGAAGCUGCAACCAGUAAAGUCCUCCCAAUAGAACAUUUCUUCCUGAGCCAACCUAUCAGUGCAGCUCUGGAAGCAAAUGACCUCUCCUGGCAGAGCCUUCACUGUGUGGGGAACAUCAGAUUUGUGUAAAGAAGAUCACCUGUCUCUUCUCAGGUGUGCACUGUAGAGAAGCUGCUGCGAAGGCCACAGGUCACUCAGGAAAAUUUGGGGCAGUUUUCUAGGUUCAAGGGAGACUGGACAUCAAAGCUGCACUGGGACAUAUGGACGCCUUGAUCCACUUUGGCCAUUCCACCUCAGCUCAGAAUUACUCACUGGUGUCAGCACAGGAUGUUUCUUGGCUUCAAACCAUUUGGAUAAGUGAUGGCAGCAAGCUUCGCCACUGUAAAGUCACCUCUUUGUAAGAAGACAGGAGCUCUUUGUAAAGAAUAUGAGACCUGAGGCUGGGGGAUGGCUGAGAAGGGAAAAGCACCUCUGCACAAGCGUGAGAAAAGGAGUUUGUUCUUCCACAUCCAUGUAGAAAUCUUGAUGCCGUGCCGUGAACCCCAGCUCUCCUACGGGAAGAUGGGAGGCGUAGACAGGAGUUCAUCUGGAAGCUUGAGGCCAGCCACCCAGAUCCUCAGAGCUGCAGACAAAAGAGAGGCCCUGCAGCAAAAGAGUGGAAGGUGAGAACCAACUCCGGAAAGUUGCCCUCUGACCUUUACAAGUGUAUACAUCCACACACAUACAAUAAAAUCAAUUGCUCAAUCACGUA
rnacentral:lncRNA from 1 species